AUACGUAGGGAGCGAGCGUUGUCCGGAAUUACUGGGCGUAAAGGGCGUGUAGGCGGGGAUUCAAGUCAGGUGUGAAAACUAUGGGCUCAACCGAUAGACUGCACUUGAAACUGGAUUUCUUGAGGGCAGGAGAGGAAAGUGGAAUUCCUAGUGUAGCGGUGAAAUGCGUAGAUAUUAGGAGGAACACCAGUGGCGAAGGCGGGUAACUGGUCUGCAACUGACGCUGAGGCGCGAAAGUGUGGGGAGCAAACAGGAUUAGAUACCCUGGUAGUCCACACUGUAAACGAUGAAUGCUAGGUGUAAGAGGUAUCGACCCCUUUUGUGCCGGAGUUAACGCAAUAAGUAUUCCACCUGGGGAGUACGUUCGCAAGAAUGAAACUCAAAGGAAUUGGCGGGG
rnacentral:rRNA from 1 species